UUACGGCUAUAUCACGUUGAAACAUCGGUUCUGGUAGGAUCACCGAAGUUAAGCAACAUCGAGCCUAGUUAGUAAUUAAAUGGCUGACCGCUUGAGAAUACCAGGU